rnacentral:rRNA from 1 species
GACGAACGCUGGCGGCGUGCUUAACACAUGCAAGUCGAACGGAAAGGCCCUUCUUUUGUGGUGUGCUCGAGUGGCGAACGGGUGAGUAACACGUGAGUAACCUUCCCGUGACUUUGGGAUAACUUCAGGAAACUGGGUCUAAUACCCGAUCGGAGCUCCUGCUGCAUGGUGGGGGCUUGAAAGCUUGGGCGUUUGGGUUUAGCCUCGCGGCUUAUCAGCUUGUUGGUGGGGGAGUGGCUUACCAAGGCUUUGACGUGUAGCCGGCAUGAGAGGGUGACCGGCGACAUUGGUACUGCGAUACGCAGCAGACGCGAACGGUAGACAGCGGUGGGAAAUAUUGCACAAUGGGCGGAAGCCUGAGGAGGAGACGCUGCGUGCGGGAUGACGGCCUUCGGGUUAUGAAACGCUUUCGCCUGUGACGAAGCGUGAGUGACGGUAAUGGAUAAAGAAGCACCGGCUAACUACGUG